UACGUAGGGCGCAAGCGUUGUCCGGAAUUAUUGGGCGUAAAGAGCUCGUAGGCGUUCUGUUACGUCCGCUGUGAAAACCCAGGGCUUAACCCUGGGCUUGCAGUGGAUACGGGCAGACUAGAGGCAGGUAGGGGAGAAUGGAAUUCCCGGUGUAGCGGUGAAAUGCGCAGAUAUCGGGAGGAACACCGGUGGCGAAGGCGGUUCUCUGGGCCUGACCUGACGCUGAGGAGCGAAAGCGUGGGGAGCGAACAGG
rnacentral:rRNA from 1 species